UGCGUAGGCGGACUAAUAAGUCAGUGGUGAAAUCUUUCGGCUCAACCGGGAAACUGCCAUUGAUACUGUUAGUCUUGAGUUCGGUUGAGGUAGGCGGAAUGUGUAAUGUAGCGGUGAAAUGCUUAGAUAUUACACAGAACACCAAUUGCGUAGGCAGCUUACUAGACCGACACUGACGCUGAGGCACGAAAGCGUGGGGAGCGAACAGGAUUAGAUACCCUGGUAGUCA
rnacentral:rRNA from 1 species